CACAGCAGAGGUUUCUCUUUUUUGGAAGAUCAACAGCCCUGCUAAGGCACUCCUGGAGAAGGCAGAGUGACAGCCUCCAUUCCCUCCUUGAACCCCAUCACCUUCCUCUUGGAAUGAACAAGAAUGAACAACUUCCUGCAGAAGCUGGCAGUCCGUGGCUUGGACAGAUAAACUCUUGGCUGGGCUGUAUUUGCUGACUUUUUAGGCAACCAUUUGUUCCAGAGGAACUCACUUUAUUACUUUAUUUCCCUUUGGCAAGAUAAUAAUUAUCUGAAAUGGAAAUAACUGAAUUCCUUUGGUGAAGUGCCAAUGAAAACUAUACCCAGACUUCCAGAAGAACUGAAUACGAUGAAACCCAUUGACUUAUAGUGGACUCGUGGUAUUUGUAAGCACGCUGUGGCAAAGCACCACAAUGUUUCAGGAGGCUUGAGAGGUGCACUUCUAACAUCUCCUUGAUCAGGCAGAGCCCAUGCGCCUCAUUCUACAGACAACAUUUGCCUGCUGGUCCACUAUUUUACACUGUGAAUCAAAUGGGUUUAUAAGCAGGAAGGAAAGGAAGGGAGGGAAAUUAAUUUGAUUCUUCUAAUGUCUGUGAAUUAAGAACUCCAGCUGUGGAAAACUAAUGCAAUGAGCGGUCCUGCCAACAUCAGCUGCCAUGGAAGUGCCUGCUUCCAAGGAUUUGUUUGGAUUUUGGUGAACACACUCUGGACCAAAGAUAGCUUGUUAAUUCUUAUUCAUAAUGAAUUAGAUAAAAAAUACAAAUCCUCAUGGUACAACAUAUUUACGGACCAUAUUUCUGCCAGCUUUGCUGUUUGAUUUUUCAUUAGAAAAAUUCAUUAAUUUUUUUGAAUCUAGGAAACUAACUCUAUCGAAAAGUUCAAGAAUAAACGAUAUGAAUAAAAAAGUGACUUUUGUUAAAAGUAUGACUGAUGAAAACAUGCAACUGAGAAAGCAGCACCAGCCCCAAGCAAAGGAAUCAGGAUAUGCUUCUUUUUUUUUCCUUUGAAAGAUAUCAAAACUAAAGUGCGGGAUAUAUAAUAUUAUCUUUUCAUAAGUCCUGUCUUCUUUUCAAAAUUGAUUUGGAAAACCUGCCAGCAACAGAAAAGAUCAAGAGCCAAGAGAGAAGCAAUGCUUUAUGGAUCGGCUGCUAUACUCCUGUGGCUUCAGAAGUGUAAAGGCUUCAAUAUUUUUGACUAGCUGGGAAAAUAACACUAUUAAUUCUUCUAAUAAUUACAGAAAAGUCACAUUAAUUUUUUUAAUGAACAUUGCCCAUUACAGUGCAAGGAUAUUAUAUUGAUUAAGCACACUACCAAAUUUUAGAUCCCUGACAUUAGAAUAACUGUAAACAAGCUUGCCAGUAUCAAAAAAUAUGGGAGAAAGGAAACAAAAAAGGGAAAGAUUUUAGCAAUGGCAUAGGAUGUCUGGUCCUUUGUCAUGAGGUGCUAUGGAUUGUUUGCCAGUCCACUGUCAUUAGAUGCUGUUGGGUAUAGCAGUUGGAUUCAUGACCUUUCUGCAUUUUCAGCUGAAUGUCAGCACUACAAGAAUAAACAGCAAGACCAAUUGCACAAAGAUUUUUGUGCUACUCCUCUAACACAAAGCUGACCCAUUCAGACUAAAUGAAAUCCUGACUGUAUUAAAGGC
ensembl:lncRNA